GAUGAACGCUAGCUACAGGCUUAACACAUGCAAGUCGAGGUACCGGCGCACGGGUGAGUAACACGUAUCCAACCUGCCCUUUACUCGGGGAUAGCCUUUCGAAAGAAAGAUUAAUACCCGAUGUAAAGGAUGGGGAUGCGUUCCAUUAGGUUGUUGGUGAGGUAGCGGCUCACCAAGCCUUCGAUGGAUAGGGGUUCUGAGAGGAAGGUCCCCCACAUUUGAACUGAGACACGGUCCAAACUCCUACGGGAGGCAGCAGUGAGGAAUAUUUGGCAAUUGGCGUUAGCCCGAACCCGCCAAGUAGCGUGAAGGAUUAAGGCUUAUUGGUCGUAAACUUCCUUUAUAUAAGAAUAUGUAUUAUAUGAAUAAGGAUCGGCUAACUCCGUGCCAGCAGCCGCGGUAAUUC
rnacentral:rRNA from 1 species